UACGUAGGGUCCGAGCGUUGUCCGGAAUUAUUGGGCGUAAAGGGCGCGUAGGCGGUGCGGUAAGUCCGCAGUGAAAUCUCUGGGCUCAACUCAGAGUCUGCUGUGGAAACUGCCGUGCUUGAGUGUGGGAGAGGUGAGUGGAAUUCCCGGUGUAGCGGUGAAAUUCGUAGAUAUUCGGAAGAACACCAGUGGCGAAGGCGGCUCACUGGCCCGGUUCUGACGCUGAGGUGCGAAAGCGUGGGGAGCAAACAGG
rnacentral:rRNA from 1 species